rnacentral:rRNA from 1 species
AGAACGAACGUUAGCGGCGCGCCUAAGACAUGCAAGUCGAGCGAGAAAGGGCUUCGGCCCCAGUACAGCGGCGCACGGGUGAGUAACACGUAGGUCAUCAACCCUCGAGUGGUGGACAACCCUCCGAAAGGAGAGCUAAUACAGCAUAACGCCAGCAAUGGCCAAAGCGGGCCUCUCCAUGGAAGCUCGCGCUUGAGGAUGAGCCUGCGGCCCAUCAGCUAGUUGGUUGGGGUAACGGCCCACCAAGGCUAAGGACGGGUAGCUGGUCUGAGAGGAUGAACAGCCACACUGGAACUGAGACACGGUCCAGACUCCGUACGGGAGCGAGCAGGUCGGGAAUCGUUCCGACAAGUGGGACCGAAAGCCCGUAGGACGGUAGCCGACGCCGCGUGACGCGAUGAAGGUCCUUGGGUAUAAGCUUCGUGGUGGGAGGAAGAAGUAGGGACGAC